rnacentral:lncRNA from 1 species
UCAGAAUCACAGUAGAAGUCUUGUGCAGUGAGUUUUACUUCGACCAGAUGAUAGAGUUCAUCUUCAUAGCAGGGUUCAGGAGUGAUGUUUGGUUUGUACCACAUGGUACAGAAGGCAUAUCCUGCUCCGUCAUGAAGGGGUGCUUGUCCAUCAUGAAAGGAUAGGUUGGGAUACAUUUCCUUCUUGAUGGUGCCAGUGAGAAGAAAAACAUAAGUUUCGUCCAUGAUGAAUCCGUAGUAUACACCCCCCUCAGGGAGUGGCAGAAGAGUGGACGGAUUGAGAAC